GGCGGUGAUCGAUCUUUAUUUUGGCCCCUCUGGCUAGAUUUCAGACACUGUCACUUUCAAAUAAGGGAUGCAUCUGAACUGUGACAGGGAGCUGCCGCAGAAGGCUUAAGUAAAACACCUAAGAAGUCCAACUCCGAGCAGACAGACAGCGCUCAGGGUGAGAGCUGCGCCUGUAAUGAAGUGUCCCAUUGAGUUUGCUGAAGUGGACUUAUCUCCCACAACGUCCCUACUCACGUCUCAGUCUUUCGCCGAGACCUCUCUCUUCUGGAAUCAAUCCCACACCUCAAGCAAACAUCCUCCUCAAUAGCUGGCAGAGUGCUGCAUGAUGCUCAAGAGAGGGUAGCAGAGGUCGUACCAACCCUCCGAGCAGUGCAAAACCCUGGCUACUGAGGUUGCAGAUGUUCCCUGGACCCAACUACUGGCAGGUUGCAACGCCCUUCUGGCGAAACAUCGAGCGGACCACGAGCCCUGGGAUCCAUGCUUCUGAACUUACCCACUGGGAUGUUUCACAAGAGGCCAGCUGGGAAGUCGGAGGGAGCCAAGAGGAAGAGCUGUGACAGGAAGCUCUGGUCUCCUGGAAUGGCAUCAUAAUACAGCGAGAACCAGCCCUCGAUGACACCAUGGAUGAAACCGCAGACAGCAAACCAGCACACAGCCAGG